UACGUAGGGUGCGAGCGUUAAUCGGAAUUACUGGGCGUAAAGCGUGCGCAGGCGGUUCGCCAAGUCAGGUGUGAAAUCCCCGGGCUUAACCUGGGAAUUGCGCUUGAAACUAGCGGGCUUGAGUGUGGCAGAGGGGGGUGGAAUUCCACGUGUAGCAGUGAAAUGCGUAGAGAUGUGGAGGAACACCGAUGGCGAAGGCAAUCCCCUGGGCCUGUACUGACGCUCAUGCACGAAAGCGUGGGGAGCAAACAGG
rnacentral:rRNA from 1 species